AACCCCUCGAAAAAAGUGAAACCAUUUUUAUUAUGUUCAUUAUUACAAUACCUACUCCAUUAGUAUAAUAACAAAACUGACUCUUCUAAUUCUAGCAAAUAAUACCAACCACCAUUUUGUGCAUUGAAUAAGAUUAAGUUCAUAUGCAAAUAAAGCUUCACCCACACUUUUACUAUGUAGCAACAUCAUUCAACUGGCACUUAGCAGGUUCACCAACUGUAUAAGGUGAAGAAAAAAGCGACUCAAGUAUAUAAUUCAAAAUUACAAUGAACAAAAAAAACUACUUCUACUGAUGGCCUUAAGUUAUACAAAGUAUUCCAUUAAGCAGUAGCUCUUUAAAGGGAGGUGAUUCACCGUGGCAAGAAAGCAUUGUUCCAAAGAUUGACAGCUGAUUGAUGGUGAGGUCCUCUGAUUCUGCACACCUUGGAAUCUUUGAUUAGAUUCCUCUAUGGGUAGCCCCAAAUUCAUCUCAACCGAAGCUGUUCCAACUCAAAAGAAUGCAGAUCUGUGAAUAAAAAGGUUCAGUGAUUUUUACGGACCUUCAAAGGUAUUAGUAUCUAAAAGGACUUAAAGGUUUUGGUGAAGAUUCAUAUUAGCUCCUAUUCAGGAGAACUUGUCGUCACAUACCCAGGAUUACCUAAAAAAAUGCUUAAUCUCUGAUUGCUCACAUAAUAUUGAUAAGAUUGGUAAGCAAAUUGACCUACUAUAUUAUGUUAGCACUCAUUACCUAGAUGAUAAAGUUAAACCUCACCGCCAAAAAGUGUGAUCUGUUGGGUAAUAACCUUAAUAAGUUAAGUAAACAUGUAUAUGUAUAUUUUAACCUCUAGCCCACUCAAAGUCAAAUGUAAUUUCAAGUACCAUUUAUGGACUAUUAUUGAUAUAUGUUACGCUGGACACCUGUUGCUCUUUAACAGACAGGCUAUGCUACUUAAAAAUUUGUGUUUACACGUAAUAGUGUAUAAGUGCUGACAAAGCAACCUUAAAUCAUAUUUUUAAAAUACCAUUAAAUAAUCCUUUGAUGAUAAUGAUGUAUGUAGUCUUUAUCUAAGGGACAUUAACCUAUGUCACUUUAAAGAAUACACUUUGAUCAACCACUAUUUGCUAAAACCAUCAAGUCUUACUCCAUUAGGAAAUAAUCUUUAUCAUAUUUGCCCCAAAGCAAUCUCUACUUGAUAUACAUUAUUGACCAUUAGAUGUUAUAGUACACAUUGUUUGAACUUUUUUAAACCUAAUACAAUCUCCUAAUUUAUUUACCCAUCUUAGUUGGGGCUUUGAACAUAAAGAAAUUCGUCAAAUCACUUUAUUUCAACCAACUAUUAAAACAUUAAACUUAUAUGAUAAGAUUCUAUAAUAGACCGAGAAAGUGUCACUUUUAUAUACUCUUUGUGAACCAUGGCCUUUUGUAUCCCUUUUUUUAUAUAUAUUUACACAAAUAUCAACCUGCUCCACAAUGAAAAUUAAUCAAUUCAUUCAUACUUUCUUUUGAGAGAUCCUUGGCAUGUAUAGCAGUUAACCUUUUUUGUGAUUAUUCAGCUAAGACCGUAUAUUAUUCUUGCUGAUUAUUUCAAAAAUCUAUUGAUAAUACCUGUCACUUAGAAUAGACCUAUUUGUGGCUACAUCUAUCAAUCUUAUCAUCACUUUAGUAGGAUAUAUAUAUAUAUAUAUAUAGAGAGAGAGAGAGAGGGAGAGAGAGAGAUGUUAACAUGAAGAAUCAAUUUCUUGGCUAUGUGGCUCAAUUAGGCCAAAUAAUAGAGCCAUCACACGUUCCUAAAGAUCUUCACUCUUUGGUUACUGAGAUUAGUCACUUCUAUGAAGAUUUUCUCAAUGAUUUUCCACCUGUUCAAGAAGUGUUAGACAAUCCUCAAAGAUUGAUUGACUCAAAGAAUGGACUUCAAGAGAAAUUAAAAGUAGCAAAGGCCAAACAGGACACUUUUCUACUUCAAUUACUAAAGGAAAAGAAAGGGUCAGUGAGAUGUCAAAAGAAAUCAAUGAAUUUGAGGUGCAACUAAAAGCCUUGCAUGAGAAGAGGAAUAGGCUAAAAUUCACCGUCGAACGUUAUGAGGUUGAAUCUAUAAACAUCAAUAGGAAACUGGAAACUUUGGUAAAAGAGAAUGAAGAGGUUGCUUUAGUAAAUGACAAUUAACCAUUUUUGGUCAUAGUUCCUGUUGAUUUGUCAUUUUGAUGUAUGAAAUUUAAGCAUUUCGAGCUAUGAUUCAACAUAUACUAUAUAUUUUGCUU